CGGCUCGCACUGGACACACACCUGUCAAGGUCCCCGCCGGCGGGAGCCCCUUAUCUGUUUGGUGAGGGGCAGGGAUAGGAUCAAGACGCAGCGGGAUUUGUUGCCAGAAGCCAGCAAAGAUGUGGAAAAAACUGGACAGAAGCCCAGUGUCUCUGAGUUCUUGGAAUGAGGAAGCCUGCGCACACGUGGGGUGGAGUGGGUGACAGCCUGUGGCCUGGGUUCCAAGAGCACAGAUAAAGGAAGCCUGCACAGAACCACAGACCCCAGGGCUCGGCAGGGCCUCGUCAGCCACUCUCCACCAACCCCGAGAUGCCGGAUGCUUGGAGUUUUGAGUUCAAGUCUUGGCGCCCUGCAAUCAUUCUGCACAUGUUUUUUGAGCACCGACUCCACGUCGAACUGAUGGAGGACCUGAUCUAGCAGUGAGCAAAAGGCAGAUCGCUGCCAUCACGGGGCUUGCAUUUUAGUUAAGGGAGAUGGGCAAUACACAAAUCAAUAUAUAAGGGCUGCUAAAAACUAAUAAUAAUAAAGCAGAGUAAAGGAAAUAGAGAGUGCCGGUA
rnacentral:lncRNA from 1 species